AUGCAGGGCUCGAUGUGGGGCUCGAUCCCAGGACUCUGGGAUCAUGACCUGAGCCACCCAGAUGCCCCUGAAGUUUUCUCUUGUUAAAAUGAUGAUGUACUAUGGACCAGAAAGCCUCUUGAUCUUCUAUUGGGAAGUACUACUUAUUAGCAGAGGAAUAGUUAAACACAUUCAGGUACACUUUGGUACGGAUUCUGGGUCUUAAAGGUUGAUUUGGGUCAUUCUUUUAAACUUUGAGGGAAAAAUUGGGAACUCUACGGACAGUGGUGAGAAUCAAAUAAAAUACAUGAAGUAACUUUGCAAAUAUAAGGUGCUUAUUUUUCUGGAUAUCCUGAGUUCACAGAAAGCAAUGAUUUGUUGGGACGAGCUGGACAGAAGAGUCAGUGCGAAGGUCCUAAGUUCCAUCAUCCAUCAUGUUGCUCCUGAAUCCUGGCUUCCAGUGAUUUUCUCAAAGAAUGUGCUCUCUUGUUGAUGUCCACAAAUGCAAGUCUUAACCAAAGUAUGCCGGAAAAUGUGAGUGAUCAUUUGUUUUCUAGUCACGCUAAACUUACUACAUAUCUUCCAACCAUGUCUUGAUUUCUUCAGGCCAGGAUCACCGCAUCCCUAAAAUGGGAUCUCUUUCAGUGGCAGCGGCACCCUACCUUCCAGGUGGGUGAAUCCAGUCCAGCAGUUGCAUUCGCCAGCGAGGAAUGCGCUUGACUAGUCCGGGAGAGCGCGAAGUCACCAUGUGAUCAGGGGCUGGGGAGGACAGCGAUCUGAAGGGCCAGUUGUAAGCCACAGAGGACUUGACGCGCCACCCCAAUGGUCUACCUGAUCGGAGGUAGUGCGCUGGUACCCACCCUGGGUGCCAGAGGUGCAGCACAUUGAGUAAGGGACCCGCCACCACCCCGCGUUGGGUACUAUAGACAUAGUCGGGGAAUACCCCAGGCUCGCCACGCUCCAGGAAGGAAAGACCUGGGUCCAUGCGGUGAGGUCCGGCUCCGAGAGCCCCACGCGAGUGGGUUCCAGAAAAUUUCCAAGAAGGAACUCAAAGUGCCCGGCACCCUGAUGGCAAGUAGUAGUGAAUUGCAUACCGAAUUUUACUAUUCUCGCUCCACCACUUGGAUGGUUUUGUCUUUUGCUUUAUCAUCCCCACAAAAUACAGACCUUUCUCUGGUCUGAUAGGACCUCAUAGGAUCUAUAAAAUCAUUAUUGGAGUAAAGAUGCUUAUUUUGUAGGCAGCUUUCUCAAAGUCAAGCUACCUCAAAGUGAAAGAAUGGUAAGCAUAAACUAAUAAGCUGAUUUUUCUUGAUCUAUAAGAUUUAUGUAAUCAAAAAGCACCACAUAGGUCCAGAUUAGCUUUAUUUUUUCCCUUUUAGCAUUUGUUUUCUCAUAUUUCAGAUGCUGGCCAUGUCCACAUUGUGAAACAAUUUACAUAUAUAGUUCUGUUGAUGUCGCUCAGUAGCAACUAGAGAAGAAAAGUAUGUUGAAAUGUUUUUUAUUUGUAGUUUAGACUGAAACAUCUAUCGAUACCUAAAAAAUAUAUAUCCAGCUGUUCUUUCUGCACUUUAGAAUACCUUCAAUUAGAAUGCAUUAUAUUAUAUAUAUUUAUAAAAUAUUCUAUUAUAGAUUAUUUACCGGGAGCAAAUUUUGCCUAGGGCAGAGCAUCAGUGCAUAUAGAAUCAUAGGAUGCUAGUGCUAGAAAUUACCUUGAAGAGACCCUAACCCAGGACAUGUCAUUCAUGACCAGCUUGUGGAUUCAUAAAUUUCCUGAAAUGUGUUGGUAUGUGUAUUAGUUUCAUACUGCCCCUGAAACAAAUUACCAGAAGCUUAGUGACUUUACACAGUGCAAAUUUAUUAUGGUUCGGUAACUAUAAGAACAGUAUAUAUUUCUGACUGUUCUGACACCGGUUACACAGGUCUCACUAGGCUAAAGUCAAGGUAUUAUCAGGGUUGUGUUCCUUCCGGAGGCUCUAGGGGAAAAAUCCAUUUACUUGUGUUUUGCAACCUCUAGAGGCUGUCUGCCUUCCCUUGGCUUAUGACAAAGCCAGCAAUGGCUAAUUUCUCAGGUGUCACUCUGAUGCUCCUUGACACUCCUUUUGGGUUCCCACUUUGCCUUCUCUCUGACUGAUUCCUCCUAUGCCCCUCUUAUAAGGAACCUUAUGAUUGCAUUGGCCCCCCCCCCAGGAUAAUCUGAGAUAAUAUCCCCAUUUCAAAAUCCUUACUCUGAUCACAUCUGCAAUGUCUCUUUUUCUAUGUAAAGCAUAGAGUAAGGUCCACAAAUUCCAGGAUUACAACAUCAACAUCUUUGGGGAGGCCCCUAUUUAGUCUACCACAGUGUGUAAACUCUUGAGGCAUAUGAGUGUAUCUCCGUGUGCAUGCAGUUUUUAUAGAUAAUUCUUCAAAAUAGUUCGCCCCAUAAUGGCUUUUCAGAGAGAUCUGACUUGAUAUAGUUUAAUCACUUCCACAAUUUGGCACCCUCUCCUAUCUCAUGAAAGGGAACAUUAAAGUCCCAGAGAGACUGACUUAUACAAAACCAUAUGAAUGAUGAGAGAUGUUUCCCUGACCUCCAUUUUUGACCCUUUGUAACUAUCACCUACCAGAAACGAAUCAGCAGAUUAUAGCGGUGUCCUGCCCAUUCCCUGCAUAGAAAGAAUCCCUGAGUCUCCUGGGAAGCUUACAGUGAGUCUGCGGCUAACAGAAUCGGUGCCACUGGCUGUAGGGCAGCUCAGAUCCAGAGUGAUGCCCCAGUGAGAGUGCACAUCUCACGUUGUUAAGAAGCACAGUGCCUUGAAGCUGAGCCCUUCUAUCUGCAGGGACAGUGGAGGUGGAAAGAGAGGGACUCAGAUGUUUUAGAGCACCUUAUUGUCAGAGCUCAGGGUGUUUUAGUUAUUCAGUGUCAGACAUAGGAGUAGAAUCCUCCUGACACCUGCAAGGCCCUGGAAGGUUGAUAAGCUUUCUGCUAUUGCUAUAUUCCAGCACAGUGCUAAUGAGUGCAGGAUCAGAAGUCAGACUACUCGGGCCAGAUUCGAGCUCUAUCAUUACAAUCUGUGUCCUUUGGCAAAUUGCUGGACUUCUCUGUAUCUCAGUUGCUUCAUCAGUAAAAUGGGGGAACUUAUUUUAUUGGGGUAAGAUAGGUUUGGAUUCUAAUUAUGAAUGGUUCCAUGGUUCACCAGUUAUCUCCUAAUAUGUGAGUGAGAAAGCAUUUCAUAUGUGUAGAACUUUACAUACACAAAAUUGCUUCACAUUCUCUCUGUUAUUUAGGCCAUUUCAGCAAGUCAUAUCAGAAUAUAUGAUUCUGUUUACCAGUUUGUUGCAAAGAGCAAAUGGGAUAAAUUUGGUAAAGUAGCUGGCAUGCAGUAAACACCACAUACUAUUUUUACUAUUAACCACUACUACAGAUGGGUGCAGAUACUUACUUUGGCCACAGAGAGGCAGCAGAGGAAACAACACUUGAAAUCCAUUUCUGUCUAAGGUCUGGUGUACUGAGAUUGAAGAAGUUUAAUUGUACGUGGUGGUUAGUUCAGAAAAAUAAUUCAGUUUGGGAAUGGUAUAAUUUGCCUCUCUGGAAACACCAUUCAUUGCUCUUUGGUUCACUAGUCCCAUUUAUAGAUGUGUGCCCCACAGGUAAAGGAGCUUGUUGUGUAGCUAUAUAGCUGAGGGCAGCCUGCCGUUAUCUGUUCUUUAGUGACCAGGGCUAAAUUUUGGUAGAUUUAUUUAGAAGCUAACAUUAUAAUGCUACACUUAAUAUUUUGAGGUAGCAAAUAACUACCUAGUCUUGCAUUUGGAAGGCCUUUGGUUGUGAUAUUUUAAAGGUUUAAGGUUAAUGUGAUUUUCGUUUGUGCUAAACAAAAUGCAGAAAGCACUUUGGAAAUUCACAUUGUUGUUUCUUACUACAAUCCUGCAUUUGAAUUUUUUUAAUGGAAUUGGAGAUUGAGAACAGAGAAAGGAGACAAAGAAGAUAAAUGUAAUAAUGAUUCUGCAAUUCAGCUUUUGGAAACAUAAAGAAAGCUGAGUAAAACACAUUUAAACAUUGAGAUUGUAUUUGUCUUCUAGAAAGGAGGCAGCUAAGAUUGUGGUGGAGGGAUGGGGGAGCUGACAAAAUCGAAGUUAAGAAAGGAGCAAGUCUAUAUAUGCCAAGCCACAGCAUUUGAUGUAGUAGCCAAAAACAUUUGGUAACAAAAUAUAAGGUAGUAUUAGCAUAUAAUUUAUUUUAAUUAUAUGUCUUAAAAUUACAUAAAUCCAUUAGCAUAAGGGGGGGAAGUACAGUAUUCCUAAUGGAAAAGCCUUGUCUAACUGGCUGUGGAACAAAAGAAUAUUCUGGGCAAACACACAUACACACAAACACACACAUACACAGACACACAAAUGGGAAUUUGAUUUAUUUAAUUGGAAAUGGAUAGUAUACAAUGAAAUAUCAGGGAUGUGAACUACCCUUCAAAUGUUCACACAGUUGCUAUAAAGCCCUUUGAGGCCAUGUAGAGAAGACAAAGAAUACUUUAAUCCUUUGCUAGAAAGCUGUAGUGGAAGAUCACGAUUAUGUGAUUUAGAAUAUAAACUGUUUAUGUCAUACUCUGAAGGAGUUUGAUGUAGAAAGGGCUUCCAGAAUCUAGUAAAAAGAAAGUUUUCUGGUGUUAAUGUAUAUAAACAACUAUUUUCUUUCUGAUGGUAUAAUGCUUUAAGUUUAUAUACUCUUUGAUCCUUCUGUUAACUGAAAAUCUUAUGGAGAGUAUUUACUGUUGUAUAAUCCCCAAAAACUAAUAAAAUAAUUCUGAGCA